AUUGAACGCUGGCGGCAGGCCUAACACAUGCAAGUCGGACGGUAGCACAGAGGAGCUUGCUCCUUGGGUGACGAGUGGCGGACGGGUGUGUAAUGUCUGGGGAUCUGCCCGAUAGAGGGGGAUAACCACUGGAAACGGUGGCCAAUACCGCAUAACGUCGCAAGACCAAAGAGGGGGACCUUCGGGCCUCUCACUAUCGGAUGAACCCAGAUGGGAUUAGAUAGUAGGCGGGGUAAUGGCCCAACUAGGCGACGAUCCCUAGCUGGUCUGAGGGGAGGAGCAGCCACACUGGAACUGAGACACGGUCCAGACUCCUACGGGAGGCAGCAGUGGGGAAUAUUGCACAAGGGGCGCAAGCCUGAUGCAGACAUGCCGCGUGUAUGAAGAAGGCCUUCGGGUUGUAAAGUACUUUCAGCGGGGAGGAAGGCGGUGAGGUUAAUAACCUUGCCGAUUGACGUUACCCGCAGAAGAAGCACCGGCUAACUCCGUGCCAGCCGCCGCGGUAA
rnacentral:rRNA from 1 species